UUACGGCCACAUCACGUUGAAACACCGGUUCCCGUACGAUCACCGAAGUUAAGCAACGUCGAUCCUGGUCAGUACCUACAUGGGUGACGGCUUGAAAAUACUAGCUUUUGUA